ACGAACGCUGGCGGCGUGCUUAACACAUGCAAGUCGAACGGAAAGACCCUGCUUUUGUGGGGUGCUCGAGUGGCGAACGGGUGAGUAACACGUGAGUAACCUGCCCUUGACUUUGGGAUAACUUCAGGAAACUGGGGCUAAUACCGGAUAGGAGCUCCUGCUGCAUGGUGGGGGUUGGAAAGUUUCGGCGGUUGGGGAUGGACUCGCGGCUUAUCAGCUUGUUGGUGGGGUAGUGGCUUACCAAGGCUUUGACGGGUAGCCGGCCUGAGAGGGUGACCGGCCACAUUGGGACUGAGAUACGGCCCAGACUCCUACGGGAGGCAGCAGUGGGGAAUAUUGCACAAUGGGCGGAAGCCUGAUGCAGCAACGCCGCGUGCGGGAUGACGGCCUUCGGGUUGUAAACCGCCUUCGCCUGUGACGAAGCGUGAGUGACGGUAAUGGGUAAAGAAGCACCGGCUAACUACGUG
rnacentral:rRNA from 1 species